CCUACGGGAGGCAGCAGUGGGGAAUAUUGGACAAUGGGCGAAAGCCUGAUCCAGCCAUGCCGCGUGUGUGAAGAAGGUCUUCGGAUUGUAAAGCACUUUAAGUUGGGAGGAAGGGCAGUAAAUUAAUACUUUGCUGUUUUGACGUUACCGACAGAAUAAGCACCGGCUAACUCUGUG
rnacentral:rRNA from 1 species